UUUCCCCUGCUGUGUUCGCCAAGGCCAUAUAUUCCUUGAGCCAAUACGCAUGGCGUCCGGUUGCCGACCUUUAAAGCUGCUGUUGUGAGCACUCCCUAGCCGAGUGCACCUGAUGCGGCCGGAAGGCAGCCACUCUGAACUUCAGGUUCAGGAUGCCGGUCUAGCGGCACGUGCGGGGGAAUC
rnacentral:other from 1 species